AUCAUACCUAGCUAUGAGAAAAAUGGUUCAUCCCAGGGCCUGCGCUGUUUAUAUGAUUUUCAUCCUAUUGAUCAUAAUUUGUUCAUCCGAAGUCUUCGCAAGGGUUUCUGAAAUUCCAAUAAGCAAAGUGAAGAGUCGGCAGCAUAUGGAGCAGUACGUGAAAAUGACAAAGAAGGAAAGAAACUUAUUAGGCCAAGAAAACCCAUUUAUUGGCGUACCAGUUCCACCAACGCCUCCAGGCCCUCAUGCUUAAAUUUGCUUAACUUGGUCGAUGAAACUCUAGGAAUUAAGAAUAUUAAUUCUCUUAAAAAGAUAAUUAGCACGCAUGAUUACUUUGGGAAAUAAAAAAUAAAACAGAUCAGAGGAGCCUAUGGCCUUUUGUUACCCUUAA